CUGUGUGCAUAUGUGCAUGCAUGUAUAUGUGUGUGAAUGUGUAUGUAGGUGUACGCACACA
rnacentral:miRNA from 1 species